GACGAACGCUGGCGGCGUGCUUAACACAUGCAAGUCGAACGGAAAGGCCCUGCUUUUGUGGGGUGCUCGAGUGGCGAACGGGUGAGUAACACGUGAGUAUCCUGCCCUUGACUUUGGGAUAACUUCAGGAAACUGGGGCUAAUACCGGAUAGGAGCUCCUGCUGCAUGGUGGGGGUUGGAAAGUUUCGGCGGUUGGGGAUGGACUCGCGGCUUAUCAGCUUGUUGGUGGGGUAGUGGCUUACCAAGGCUUUGACGGAUAGCCGGCCUGAGAGGGUGACCGGCCACAUUGGGACUGAGAUACGGCCCAGACUCCUACGGGAGGCAGCAGUGGGGAAUAUUGCACAAUGGGCGGAAGCCUGAUGCAGAAACGCCGCGUGCGGAAUGCCGGCCUUCGGGUUGUAAACCGCUUUCGCCUGUGACGAAGCGUGAGUGACGGUAAUGGGUAAAGAAGCACCGGCUAACUACGUG
rnacentral:rRNA from 1 species